rnacentral:rRNA from 1 species
AUUGAACGCUGGCGGCAUGCCUUACACAUGCGAGUCGAACGGCAGCACGGGUGCUUGCCCCGCGGGGCGAGUGGCGAACGGGUGAGUAAUACAUCGGCACAUGUCCUGUAGGGGGGGAGAGCGCGGCGAACGCCGGAUUAAUACCGCAUACGAUCUACGGGUAAAAGCGGGGGACCUUGGGCCCUCGCGCUAUAGGGUUGGCAGAUGGCAGAUUAGCUAGUUGGUGGGGUAAAGGCCUACCAAGGCGACGAUCAGUAGCUGGUCUGAGAGGACGACCAGCCACACUGGGACUGAGACACGGCCCAGACUCCUACGGGAGGCAGCAGUGGGGAAUUUUGGACAAUGGGCGAAAGCCUGAUCCAGCAAUGCCGCGUGUGUGAAGAAGGCCUUCGGGUUGUAAAGCACUUUUGUCCGGAAAGAAAUGCUUGGCUCUAAUACAGCCGUGGGAUGACGGUACCGGAAGAAUAAGCACCGGCUAACUACGUG